rnacentral:rRNA from 1 species
CGGAGGAUCCAAGCGUUAUCCGGAAUCAUUGGGUUUAAAGGGUCCGUAGGCGGUUUUAUAAGUCAGUGGUGAAAUCUGGUCGCUCAACGAUCAAACGGCCAUUGAUACUGUAGAACUUGAACUACUUGAAAGUAACUAGAAUAUGUAGUGUAGCGGUGAAAUGCUUAGAGAUUACAUGGAAUACCAAUUGCGAAGGCAGGUUACUACAAGUAUAUUGACGCUGAUGGACGAAAGCGUGGGGAGCGAACAGGAUUAGAUACCCUGGUAGUCCACGCCGUAAACGAUGGAUACUAGCUGUUUGGAGCAAUCUGAGUGGCUAAGCGAAAGUGAUAAGUAUCCCACCUGGGGAGUACGCUCGCAAGAGUG